rnacentral:rRNA from 1 species
AUUGAACGCUGGCGGCAGGCCUAACACAUGCAAGUCGAGCGGUAACAGGGAUAGCUUGCUAUCUGCUGACGAGCGGCGGACGGGUGCGUAACACGUAGGAAUCUGCCCGGUAGUGGGGGAUAGCCCGGAGAAAUCCGGAUUAAUACCGCAUACGCACUAGCUUUCUUAGGAGAGCGGUGGAAAGCAGGGGAAUCUUCGGAUCCUUGCGCUAUCGGAUGAGCCUGCGUCGGAUUAGCUUGUUGGUGAGGUAAAGGCUCACCAAGGCGACGAUCCGUAGCUGGUCUGAGAGGAUGAUCAGCCACACUGGGACUGAGACACGGCCCAGACUCCUACGGGAGGCAGCAGUGGGGAAUAUUGCACAAUGGGCGCAAGCCUGAUGCAGCCAUGCCGCGUGUGUGAAGAAGGCUCUAGGGUUGUAAAG